rnacentral:rRNA from 1 species
AACGAACGCUGGCGGCAUGCCUAACACAUGCAAGUCGAACGAGACCUUCGGGUCUAGUGGCGCACGGGUGCGUAACGCGUGGGAACCUGCCCUUAGGUUCGGAAUAACUCCCCGAAAGGGGUGCUAAUACCGGAUAAUGUCUUCGGACCAAAGAUUUAUCGCCUUUGGAUGGGCCCGCGUUGGAUUAGCUAGUUGGUAGGGUAAAAGCCUACCAAGGCGACGAUCCAUAGCUGGUCUGAGAGGAUGAUCAGCCACACUGGGACUGAGACACGGCCCAGACUCCUACGGGAGGCAGCAGUGGGGAAUAUUGGACAAUGGGCGAAAGCCUGAUCCAGCAAUGACGCGUGAGUGAUGAAGGCCUUAGGGUUGUAAAGCUCUUUUAACCGGGAGGAUAAUGACAGUACCGGGAGAAUAAGCUCCGGCUAACUCCGUG